rnacentral:tRNA from 1 species
UCCUCCUUAGCUCAGUUGGCUAGAGCGUCUGACUGUUACCACCGUCCCUUGGGACGAGCAGCAACAUCAGGAGGUCCACAGUUCAAACCUGUGAGGGGGAG